rnacentral:ribozyme from 1 species
ACAAGUUGCAGGGCAUGGUUAAUGUUGCGGACAGAAGGUAUACGUCUAAGGAUUGCUUUUUCCUUCUGAUAUUUGCAUCAAGAAACUCAGUCAUAUCCAUUUCACUCCCAACCAUUCAACAAC